rnacentral:lncRNA from 1 species
AAAUUAUUCACUGCAAUAUGAAUAAAAGCAGUCAUCAUAUUCCACACCCAAAGGGAAAAGAGGAAGAAGCUUUAUGGACCCAUUAGAGGGACCCUUCAUUACUUUGCUCUAACUUGGGCUACCAACCCAUAAUUAGAUUUUAGAACCUCUUUUUCCCUCCUAAACCUUUCUCUGCGCCAUAAACAAGAACUUGUUUCAAUUUUCACCAAUUUGUCGGGUCCUACCUUCUUCUUAUUUUCUUCUCUUUAUUUUUCACAAGUGGAUUUGGAGCUUCUCCUGAGAAGAAAACUACAUUCCUCAACUUUAU